AGAGUUUGACCUUGGGUCAGGAUGAACGCUGGCGGCGUGCUUAACACAUGCAUGUCGAGCGAUGAAGUUUCCUUCGGGAAACGGAUUAGCGGCGGACGGGUGAGUAACACGUGGGUAACCUGCCUCAUAGAGUGGAAUAGCCUUCCGAAAGGAAGAUUAAUACCGCAUAACGUUGAAAGAUGGCAUCAUCAUUCAACCAAAGGAGCAAUCCGCUAUGAGAUGGACCCGCGGCGCAUUAGCUAGUUGGUGGGGUAACGGCCUACCAAGGCGACGAUGCGUAGCCGACCUGAGAGGGUGAUCGGCCACAUUGGGACUGAGACACGGCCCAUACUCCUACGGGAGGCUGCAGUGGGGAAUAUUGCACAAUGGGGGAAACCCUGAUGCAGCAACGCCGCGUGAGUGAUGAAGGUUUUCGGAUCGUAAAGCUCUGUCUUUGGGGAAGAUAAUGACGGUACCCAAGGAGGAAGCCACGGCUAACUACGUGCCAGCAGCCGCGGUAAUACGUAGGUGGCGAGCGUUAUCCGGAUUUACUGGGCGUAAAGGGAGCGUAGGCGGAUGAUUAAGUGGGAUGUGAAAUACCCGGGCUUAACCUGGGUGCUGCAUUCCAAACUGGAUAUCUAGAGUGCAGGAGAGGAAAGGAGAAUUCCUAGUGUAGCGGUGAAAUGCGUAGAGAUUAGGAAGAACACCAGUGGCGAAGGCGGCUGUCUGGUCUGUAACUGACGCUGAGGCUCGAAAGCAUGGGUAGCGAACAGGAUUAGAUACCCUGGUAGUCCAUGCCGUAAACGAUGAAUGCUAGGUGUUGGAGGGUUUCCGCUUCAGUGCCGCAGCUAACGCAUUAAGCAUUCCGCCUGGGGAGUACGACCGCAAGGUUGAAACUCAAAGGAAUUGACGGGGGCCCGCACAAGCGGUGGAGCAUGUGGUUUAAUUCGAAGCAACGCGAAGAACCUUACCUAGACUUGACAUCUCCUGAAUUACCAUGUAAUGUGGGAAGUCCCUUCGGGGACAGGAAGACAGGUGGUGCAUGGUUGUCGUCAGCUCGUGCUGGGAGAUGUUGGGUUAAGUCCCGCAACGAGCGCAACCCUUGUCGUUAGUUACUACCAUUAAGUUGAGGACUCUAGCGAGACUGCCUGGGUUAACCAGGAGGAAGGUGGGGAUGACGUCAAAUCAUCAUGCCCCUUAUGUGUAGGGCUACACACGUGCUACAAUGGCUGGUACAGAGAGAUGCAAUACCGCGAGGUGGAGCCAAACUUUAAAACCAGUCUCAGUUCGGAUUGUAGGCUGAAACUCGCCUACAUGAAG
rnacentral:rRNA from 1 species